rnacentral:rRNA from 1 species
CAGUCGCCGCGGUAAAACGGAGGGUGCAAGCGUUGUCCGGAUUUAUUGGGUUUAAAGGGUGCGUAGGCGGCUAUUUAAGUCAGCGGUGAAAGACUCCGGCUCAACCGGAGCAGUGCCAUUGAUACUGGAUAGCUUGAGUGUUGGAGGGGUACAUGGAAUUGAUGGUAUAGCGGUGAAAUGCAUAGAUACCAUCAGGAACACCGAUAGCGAAGGCAUUGUACUGGCCAACAACUGACGCUGAGGCACGAAAGCAUGGGGAGCGAACAGGAUUAGAUACCCCUGUAGUCCCUGUCUCUUAUAA